rnacentral:rRNA from 1 species
GACGAACGCUGGCGGCGUGCUUAACACAUGCAAGUCGAACGGUGAAGCGCCUUCCUUUUUGGUGGGUGUGGAUGAGUGGCGAACGGGUGAGUAACACGUGAGUAACCUGCCCCCUUCUUCUGGAUAACCGCAUGAAAGUGUGGCUAAUACGGGAUAUUCUGGGUCUGUCGCAUGAUGGGUCUGGGAAAGAUAUUGUUUCGGUGGGGGAUGGGCUCGCGGCCUAUCAGCUUGUUGGGGGGGUGAUGGCCUACCAAGGCGGUGACGGGUAGCCGGCCUGAGAGGGUGGACGGUCACACUGGGACUGAGACACGGCCCAGACUCCUACGGGAGGCAGCAGUGGGGAAUAUUGCACAAUGGGCGCAAGCCUGAUGCAGCGACGCCGCGUGAGGGAUGGAGGCCUUCGGGUUGUGAACCUCUUUCGCCAGUGAAGCAGGACUGCCUCGUGUGUGGGUGGGUUGACGGUAGCUGGAUAAGAAGCGCCGGCUAACUACGUG